AGCGAACGCUGGCGGCAGGCUUAACACAUGCAAGUCGAGCGGGCAUCCUUGUGGUGUCAGCGGCAGACGGGUGAGUAACGCGUGGGAACGUGCCCUUCGGUUCGGAAUAACUCAGGGAAACUUGAGCUAAUACCGGAUACGUGCGAGAGCAGAAAGGUUUAUCUGCCGAAGGAUCGGCCCGCGUCUGAUUAGCUAGUUGGUGAGGUUACGGCUCACCAAGGCGACGAUCAGUAGCUGGUCUGAGAGGAUGAUCAGCCACACUGGGACUGAGACACGGCCCAGACUCCUACGGGAGGCAGCAGUGGGGAAUAUUGGACAAUGGGGGCAACCCUGAUCCAGCCAUGCCGCGUGAGUGAUGACGGCCUUAGGGUUGUAAAGCUCUUUUCUCCGGGACGAUAAAGACGGUACCGGAGGAAUAAGCCCCGGCUAACUUCGUG
rnacentral:rRNA from 1 species